AAGAACCUCAUCCUGAUACAAAUGAAGAUCUGGUCGUUUGAGAUCAGAUGAAAGAAAAAGCCCCUCAGCAACUCCUCUACACCCCUACAAUCCUGUUAGGAGCAGAAGGAAAACCCUUACCCUAACACAAAAAAGAAGAAAAAGCGAUGAGCUACACCAAAAAAAAAUGAACUACAUCCAAGGUUCAAGGAACCUCAUCUCA
rnacentral:lncRNA from 1 species